UAUUCAUUUUUAGUGUAAAAUUGAAGGAGUAAAUAGAAAUUCCAUCAAAAUUCUUAGCCGAUCCCUUUCAAGCAUCAUAGUCCUUCAGUAAUUCCAAUAAGACUAGCUAUGUUGACAUUGACUAUUAUAUUGUCAUCAAUCAUAUAGUCCAUUAUGCAUGUGUCAAUUUCAAACAAUAGCCUACCAAUGAACUUUCUUAGUAAUAAAUGGACAUUUUUCCUCGCCUUGGAAGAUUUUAACACCUUUGAAGUAAGACAUGUGAUAGAAGAAGAAUCUAUGAACUUUUCAACUAUAGGUUUUUGUGGAAAAGUGGGUAAUAUACUUCAAGAAAAUGACAAAUAAUCUUUUUUGUUUUGUCUAGCUUGACUAACUAGAUAAGAUAUUGAUUAAUCUUUAUUGUCAAGGUGCCUUGGAAGCUCCUUCAAGUAACCAAGAAAAUUCAAUCCUUAAAAUUACUUAGUUUGUACUAUCAUUGCAAGUAAAUGCCAAAUGUUAUUUAUCAUCUUCUUAUCAAUGUUAAACAAAUGAAAAUUAUGAAAUUACGUAAACUAAGGUCAAAUUUAAUUGAUGGUCUAGACUAGGAUAAUUAUUAACAACUUGGAAGCCUUUAAGACUAGGAAUUACUAUCCUAGACCUACUUUUCCUGACAUGCAGUUUGAGGAAAGAAAUCAGUAUACUCAAGCCUCAUACACUAGUGGUACUAUCUAUGAAUGGAAUAUAGACGGUAUGACCGAGUAUAACAUACUAUAUAUAUAUAUAUAUAUAUACUUAAACAAAAACAUGCUUGUCUAGUGAAUGCCUUUCAAAUGAUAGUUUAAGAGUUCAAGGUAUCUUAUAGUAUAUGUCUAUCAUUAGUAUUCAUUUUUAGUGUAAAAUUGAUGGAGUAAAUAGAAAUUCCCUCAAAAUUCUUACCUGGUCCCUUUCAAGAAUCAUAGUCCUUCAAUAAUUCCAAUGAGACUAGCUAUGUUGACAUUGACUAUUAUAUUGUCAUCAAUCAUACAGUCCAUUAUACAUGUGUCAAUUUCAAACAAUAGCCUACCAAUGAAUUUUCUUAGCAAUAAAUGGACAUUUUUCCUAACCUUGGAAGACUUUAACACCUUUGCGGUAAGACAU
rnacentral:lncRNA from 1 species